rnacentral:tRNA from 1 species
GUAAAUAUAGUUUAAAAAAAACAUUAGAUUGUGAAUCUAAUAAUAGAAGUCUGCCACCUUCUUAUUUACC